rnacentral:lncRNA from 1 species
GUAGAAAAGAGUAGUUAAGAUAUGAGCAAGAAACUUGGGAAAUGUGCAUUCUACUACAGGGUGUUUUAGAAUAUGUUCUUGUGCCACUGAGAUCAGUGAUAAUGGGAUGAGUGUGGACCAUGGUUUCUAUUCUGCCGUUCAUACCACAAGAAUUCCAAAGCUUCAUGGCAGCAGCCCCUACACCUCUCUUCCAUGUUUGCCACAAGACUUCUGAGUGGAGAUAAACAUAG